rnacentral:rRNA from 14 species
GAAUACCUUGGGGGGUAGAGCACUGGAUGGGCUAGGGGUCCCCACAGGAUUACCAAACCUAACCAAACUCCGAAUACCGGUGAGUAGAGCAUGGCAGACAGACAGUGGGUGCUAAGGUCCAUUGUCGAAAGGGAAACAGCCCAGACCGCCAGCUAAGGUCCCAAAGUCAUGGCUAAGUGGGAAAGGAUGUGGG